GACUGCAGACUGCAGGGGGGGGGGGGACAUCGGAGAUCCGUAUUUGAAAAGAAGCCCGUCCGAUUUUGCCAUUGUGCCUUUUCACUCAUCGAUCGAAUGAAUAUCGAACCUUCUGUCGGUGCAUGUGUGAAACAGAUAGCUUAGCCAGCAUUUUUUUUUCUGUUCAGACCUGUGCUGUGGGCCAAACGUCUUUCGCCUCAUCUCCUUAUUUUUUCCUCUUUAAUAGUCUUUUUUUAAAUAUUUGAUGACAUUAAACUAAUUUUAAUGAUUAUUUAAAAAAAAAAAAAUCUUUUAAAAAACUUUUGUUUGGGACUUAUUUAUUUAUCAUAUGCAAACUCUGAAGACUUUGAAGGGGCAACAUAUAUCAUAAUCUGGCCUGUGGAUAUUAUAUUUGCUUCCUGAUGUUUUUUUUUUCUUUUUUCUUGCUGUUCAUUUUUUUUUUCACUUUUUGUGUAUAAUGACACUAACAAAACAAAUCGUACUCUAGUUAAAAAUGACCAUCAAUGACCAGCCAUAAUUUAGGCUGAAUGACUAAAAACACAAAACCUUCAAAGAAUAAAAUUAAUAUAGUAAUUUUAUCAUAAAAAACUGAAAUAUGUACAAAAAACAAAUUCAUGUGAAAAAUGUUUCUUUCUCAAUUAACUUUUCUGUUUAUAUUUUCAAAUGAUUUCAAAGAGAGCAUGAUUUGUUUAAUCAAAAUAGGACAGUAUUGCAAAAUAUGACACAUGUUGAAAAAUACUGUACAGCUUUUUAUUUUUCCAAACUAUUCAAAUUCAAUGACUUUGCAUUUUCAAGGAAUUCUAAUUCUGAAGAGCAUAAUGAAAAGGCAGAGAGAUGGCCAUUCUCCAACUGACGCAUUGAAAGAAGCGAAGAAGUAAGACAAGACGAGAGAAAAAUCAAGAACAACUGAAAGGCAUAGGAAGGAAAGGAAUCACUGGAGUGAAAAGACAAUUCAUUGUUCCCGAGAUGAAGAAAAAAAAAACUAAGCGGACUGCCUGGACAAUGCACUAAAACUUGAGAAUUAUGGUUUCGUAGUCAGAAUCAGAAGUAAGGCACACAGGAGACAACG